rnacentral:rRNA from 1 species
UGGGGAAUUUUGGACAAUGGGCGAAAGCCUGAUCCAGCAAUGCCGCGUGUGUGAAGAAGGCCUUCGGGUUGUAAAGCACUUUUGUCCGGAAAGAAAUCCUUGGCUCUAAUACAGUCGGGGGAUGACGGUACCGGAAGAAUAAGCACCGGCUAACUACGUGCCAGCAGCCGCGGUAAUACGUAGGGUGCAAGCGUUAAUCGGAAUUACUGGGCGUAAAGCGUGCGCAGGCGGUUUGCUAAGACCGAUGUGAAAUCCCCCGGGCUCAACCUGGGAACUGCAUUGGUGACUGGCAGGCUAGAGUAUGGCAGAGGGGGGUAGAAUUCCACGUGUAGCAGUGAAAUGCGUAGAGAUGUGGAGGAAUACCGAUGGCGAAGGCAGCCCCCUGGGCCAAAUACUGACGCUCAUGCACGAAAAGCGUGGGGAGCAAAACAGGAUUAGAUACCCUGGUAGUCCACGCCCUAAAACGAUGUCAACUAGUUGUUGGGGAUUCAUUUCCUUAGUAACGUAGCUAACGCGUGAAGUUGACCGCCUGGGGAGUACGGUCGCAAGAUUAAAAACUCAAAUGAAUUGACGGGGUCAUAGCU